AGUAUGUGGUUUAAUUCGAUGCAACGCGAAGAACCUUACCUGGUCUUGACAUCCCGGAGACCCUUAGGAAACUAGGGGGUGCUUCCAUCUGGAAGAAUCUGGAGACAGGUGCUGCAUGGCUGUCGUCAGCUCGUGUCGUGAGAUGUUGGGUUAAGUCCCGCAACGAGCGCAACCCUUGCCUUUAGUUGCCAGCAGUUCGGCUGGGCACUCUAAAGGGACUGCCGGUGUUAAACCGGAGGAAGGUGGGGAUGACGUCAAGUCCUCAUGGCCUUUAUGACCAGGGCUACACACGUACUACAAUGGCCGAUACAAAGGGCAGCGACACUGCGAGGUGAAGCCAAUCCCGUAAAAUCGGUCUCAGUCCGGAUUGGAGUCUGCAACUCGACUCCAUGAAGUUGGAAUCGCUAGUAAUCGUGGAUCAGCAUGCCACGGUGAAUACGUUCCCGGGCCUU
rnacentral:rRNA from 1 species